GUGGCGCGCUGAGUUUGCUGAACGGGCGAGUAAUGCAUCGGAACGUGCCCUGAAGUGGGGGAUAACGCAGCGAAAGUUGCGCUAAUACCGCAUAUUCUGUGAGCAGGAAAGCAGGGGAUCGCAAGACCUUGCGCUUUAGGAGCGGCCGAUGUCGGAUUAGCUAGUUGGUGGGGUAAAGGCUCACCAAGGCGACGAUCCGUAGCGGGUCUGAGAGGAUGAUCCGCCACACUGGGACUGAGACACGGCCCAGACUCCUACGGGAGGCAGCAGUGGGGAAUUUUGGACAAUGGGCGAAAGCCUGAUCCAGCCAUGCCGCGUGAGUGAAGAAGGCCUUCGGGUUGUAAAGCUCUGUCGGCGGGGAAGAAAUCGCAUUCUCUAAUACAGGAUGUGGAUGACGGUACCCGAAUAAGAAGCACCGGCUAACUACGUGCCAGCAGCCGCGGUAAUACGUAGGGUGCGAGCGUUAAUCGGAAUUACUGGGCGUAAAGCGUGCGCAGGGCGGUUUCGUAAGACAGACGUGAAAUCCCCGGGCUCAACCUGGGAACUGCGUUUGUGACUGCGAGGCUAGAGUUUGGCAGAGGGGGGUGGAAUUCCACGUGUAGCAGUGAAAUGCGUAGAGAUGUGGAGGAACACCGAUGGCCGAAGGCAAUCCCCUGGGCCUGCACUGACGCUCAUGCACGAAAGCGUGGGGAGCAACCAGGAUUAGAUACCUUGGUAUUCCACGCCCUUAACGAUGUCAACUGGUUGUGGGGUCUUCCUGGACUC
rnacentral:rRNA from 1 species